UACGUAGGGGGCAAGCGUUGUCCGGAUUUAUUGGGCGUAAAGAGCGUGUAGGCGGCUAGGUAGGUCCGUUGUGAAAACUCGAGGCUCAACCUCGAGACGCCGGUGGAAACCAUCUAGCUAGAGUCCGGAAGAGGAGAGUGGAAUUCCUGGUGUAGCGGUGAAAUGCGCAGAUAUCAGGAAGAACACCCGUGGCGAAGGCGGCUCUCUGGGCCGUAACUGACGCUGAGGAGCGAAAGCGUGGGGAGCGAACAGG
rnacentral:rRNA from 1 species